rnacentral:rRNA from 1 species
CAGUAGCCACGGGAAAACCAGCAGCCCAAGUGGUGGUCGCGUUUAUUGGGCCUAAAGCGCUCGUAGCCUGACCGGUAAGUUCCCCGUGAAAUCGGGUCGCCCAACGAUUCGGCUUGCGGGGAAUACUGUCGGUCUUGGGGCCGGGAGACGCCGAGGGUACUCCGGGGGUAGCGGUGAAAUGCUGUAAUCCUCGGGGGACUACCAGUGGCGAAGGCGCUCGGCGAUAACGGGCCUGACGGUGAGGGGCGAAAGCUGGGGGCGCGAACGGGAUUGGAUACCCGCGUAGUCCCUGUCUCUUAUC